UGACAUCAUAAAAGCUGUAUCACAGAAUCUUGCCUUCAGUUAACAUUCCAUCUCCUACAUCCUUCAGUACCUCACAUAUGCAGCUUGGUGGCUAGAGGGAGAAAUGCCUAAGAUCCCAGAGCCUUCAUCCAGUAUCUGAUGGAAGUAGAUGCAGAGAUCCACAACCAAGCACCAGACUUAGGAGUGGGGUAAGGGGUAGGUGUGUCAAGAUCAUGAUGGGGAAAUCUACAGAGACAAAAGACAACUGAACCAAGCUCAAAGGAACUCAAGAACUUUAGACCAACAGCUGUGGAACCUGCAUGGGACUGGACUAGACCCUCUGCAUAUGGAAGACAGUUCUGUAGCUGGGUCUGUUUGAGGGGCUCCUGGCAGUGUGAUCAGGAUCUAUCUCUCAUGCAUGACUUGGCUUUCUGGAUCCCAUUACCUAUGGUCCGACACCCCGCUCACCCCUAAUAAACCAGGGAGGGUCUUGGUCCUACCUCAA